rnacentral:rRNA from 1 species
UACGGGGGGGGCAAGCGUUGUUCGGAAUUACUGGGCGUAAAGGGCUUGUAGGCGGCCAACUAAGUCCGACGUGAAAUCCCUAGGCUUAACCUAGGAACUGCGUCGGAUACUGGAUGGCUUGAAUCCGGGAGAGGGAUGCGGAAUUCCAGGUGUAGCGGUGAAAUGCGUAGAUAUCUGGAGGAACACCGGUGGCGAAGGCGGCAUCCUGGACCGGCAUUGACGCUGAGGAGCGAAAGCCAGGGGAGCAAACGGG